UCUCCUCGCGCUGUCUCUCUCGCCCCUCUUCUUCUUCGCACGACGCUGCUGCACGCGCAGCACUGCCGACGGCCCGCGCGCACCGAACCACCGGAGAUUGCUGCUGCUCGCCGUUCACUGGAGUCGGCGUCCUAUCCCCUGCCGGAAUCUUCGUUGCCUUCCCUGCUCAAUGAGCAGAGAUUAAAGAAGAUAAAGGAUAUUACAAGCCUCCCCCGGCUAUCAUGGUUGGUAAGCAGGAAUUCAGGUAUGGGAGAACAGUUGUGGAUCACGAUUAUAUUGCGUUAUGGAGAUUAUGUAUGAUUCAUGAGGUUUUAAGAUACUUUGUAUAAUGGAUAAACAAGUAUUAUCUUGCGAUGAGUAAUUGUAUAGUAAAUUUUAAAUUUUAGGCUA